AUGGCAAUGCAGACGGGCUGCUGCUCGGCGGCGCCGGCGGUCCUCCUCCUCCUGGUGGUUGCCGCGGCCGGUGCGUCGGUGGCCGGGGCAACGUAUGUCAGGUACAAAGACCACAAGCAGCCGAUCCAGGCGCGCGUGGAGGAUCUCCUCGGCCGGAUGAGGAUCGAGGAGAAGAUCGGGCAGAUGACGCAGAUCGAGCGCCACAACGCCUCCUCCGCCGUCAUCGAGAAGUACUUCGUCGGGAGCGUGCUGAGCGGUGGCGGCAGCGCUCCGUCGGAGAAGGCGUCGGCGGCGACGUGGCAGGAGAUGAUCACCAAGAUGCAGAAGGCGGCGCUCAGCACCCGCCUCGGCAUCCCCAUCCUCUACGGCAUCGACGCCGUGCAUGGCAACAACAACGCCUACAACGCCACCAUCUUCCCCCACAACGUCGGCCUCGGCGCCACCAGGGACCCCGACCUGGUCAAGCGCAUCGGCCGCGCCACGGCGCUCGAGGCCAGGGCCACCGGCAUCCCCUACACCUUCGCGCCAUGCGUCGCGGUUUGCCGUGAUCCGAGGUGGGGCGGGUGCUACGAGAGCUUCAGCGAGGACACGAAGCUGGUGCAGCUGAUGACGUCGGCCGUCAUCCCCGGCCUGCAGGGCGACGUCUCCAGCAAGCAUCCCAGGGGCGUCCCCUUCGUGGGCGGGACCAAGCACGUGGCAGCCUGCGCCAAGCACUUCGUCGGCGACGGCGGGACGCACCACGGGAUAAGCGCCAACAACACGGUGCUCAGCUUCCACGACCUCAUGCGGAUCCACAUGCCGCCCUACUACGACGCCGUCAUCAAGGGCGUCUCCUCCGUCAUGAUCUCCUACUCCAGCUGGAACGGCGUCAAGAUGCACGAGAACAAGUACCUCAUCACCCAGAUCCUCAAGGAAAAGAUGCACUUCAGGGGCUUUGUGAUCACGGACUGGCAGGCGGUGGACAAGAUCACCACCCCGCCGCACAAGCACUACUACCACUCCAUCCAGGAGACCAUCCACGCCGGCAUCGACAUGGUCAUGAUCCCAUUCGACUACCCCGAGUUCGUCGCCGACGUCCAGGCCCAGGUCAUGCGCGGCGCUAUCAAGAUGGACCGCAUCAACGACGCCGUCUCCCGCAUCCUCAGGGUCAAGUUCGCCAUGGGCCUCUUCGAGAACCCCUUCCCCGAACACAGCCUCACCGGCCAGCUCGGCAGCAAGGAGCACCGGGAGCUCGCCAGGGAGGCCGUCAGGAAGUCCCUCGUGCUGCUCAAGAACGGCAAAGGCAGGAAAGACGGCAAGCCCGUCCUCCCGCUCUCCAAGAAGGCCAAGAAGAUCCUCGUCGUUGGCACCCACGCCCACGACCUCGGCCUCCAGUGCGGCGGCUGGACCAAGUCCUGGCAGGGUCAGUCCGGCAACGGCAUCACCGGCCAUGGUACCUACUUACCUCCAUCGCCUCCUCGUCUUUCUUUCACACAUCUCUUAGUUGUUGACUACUGUACGUACGAAUACGAUGCAGGCACCACCAUUCUUGAGGCCAUCAAGUCGGCGGUGGACAAGAAGACGAUCAUCGACUACUCGGAGCACCCGGACAAGGGCAACGUCUCCAAGAACGAGGACGAGUACGACUACGCUGUGGUGGUGGUGGGCGAGCACCCGUACGCCGCCGCGGCCGGCGACAACCUGAACCUCACCAUCCCGGGCCCGGGCCCGGAGGUCAUCAGGAAGGUGUGCGAGCUCGUCAAGUGCGUCGUCGUCCUCGUCUCGGGCCGUCCGCUCGUCGUCGAGCCAUACCUCGACACCAUGGACGCGCUCGUCGCCGCCUGGCUGCCCGGCACCGAGGGCCACGGCGUCGCCGACGUGCUCUUUGGGGACCACGGAUUCUCCGGCAAGCUGCCCCGGACGUGGGUCAGGUCCGUCGACCAGCUGCCCAUGAACUACGGCGACAAGCUCUACGACCCGCUCUUCCCCUUCGGAUUCGGACUCACCACCAAGCCAGCGGAUCGCAGCUAG
rnacentral:rRNA from 1 species